CUGCCACCCGCUCCCGUCCCCAUGGCGUCCGCCUCCCGAGCCCCCGCGAAGCCCCCGCAGGUCCUAGUCCUCGACCCACCCACGGACCUCAAGUUCAAAGGCCCCUUCACCGCGGUAGUCACGGCGCAUCUUAAACUUCGUAACCCAUCGGCGAGGAAAGUGUGCUUCAAGGUGAAGAGUACCAGCCCUCGACACUACUGCGUGCGGCCCAACAGCGGUGUCAUCGAGCCAGGCAACACGGUGACGGUCACAGCCAUGCUGCAGCCCUCCUGCUGCGGCCCCAGCCGGGAGGUCAGGCAUAAGUUCAUGGUGCAGACAGUAUUUGCUCCUCCUGACACUUCGGAUCUGGAGGCCGUGUGGAGGAGGGCAAACCCAGGGGAACUAAUGGAUUCGAAACUGAGGUGUGUAUUCGAAGCGCCGACAGAAAGUGACAAACUGGAAGAAGGCUUGAGACUCAGAAAGGCAGCGCAUCCCGACAAGCCGGAACCCUCCUCCUGCACUUCCUUGAAGCUGGGUUGCACUAUGCCUCUUCCUGUUCUGCUGGUGAUCGGAGCAGUUUUCUUUGGAUUCUUUCUAGGGAAAUUCGUCUUGUAGAGUGAGGCGCGCACAGCACUAUUCCCCUCACCCUACCCCCACUUAGACCAGAAAAAAAAAGUUUCUUUACCCACCAUCUUAUUGGAAGUAUAGCCCGCCCGCGGUGACAAACUUUGUGUGCGUGUAGUCUCAUAGGCUUCGCCCCUAAUGAUCUCUUGUGAUUGGAGGACGCAAUAAACAAACACACCAAAAAAGAACUGUUGGGCUACUGGACAGAUUGCAUAUUAUCGGAUCAUCACAAGCCAGUUGCCCAUUCAGUGCGUGGUG